GAUGAAGAACGUAGCGAAAUGCGAUAAGUAGUGUGAAUUGCAGAAUUCAGUGAAUCAUCGAAUCUUUGAACGCACAUUGCGCCCCUUGGUAUUCCAUGGGGCAUGCCUGUUCGAGCGUCAUUUGUACCUUCAAGCUCUGCUUGGUGUUGGGUGUUUGUCCUUGCUCCUAUGGGGUAGGACUCGCCUUAAAGUAAUUGGCAGCCAGUGUUUUGGUUUGAAGCGCAGCACAAGUCGCGAUUCAAGCUUAAUCAGUAGCUUUCCAUCAAGGCAUCUAUCACUUUUGACCUCGGAUCAGGUAGGGAUACCCGCUGAACUUAAGCAUAUCCAAUAAGCGGAGGA
rnacentral:misc_RNA from 1 species